rnacentral:tRNA from 1 species
ACUUAGCUCAGUUGGUUAGAGCAUUGGCCUGAUAAGCCAAAGUUGCAGGUUCAAUCCCCAGU